ensembl:lncRNA
CUUUGGGGGGGGGAGGGGGAGAGAGGGGUCAGCCCCAUAGCGGGACCCACACACACAGCACAGCCCCACAGCACAGCCCUUCUGCCCCAUAGAUCUCAGCCCCACAGCACAGCCCUUCUGUCCCAUAGAUCUCAGCCCCAUAGCACAGCCCUUCUGCCCCAUAGAUCUCAGCCCCAUAGAUCUCAGCCCCAUAGAUCUCUGCCCCAUAGCACAGCCCUUCAGCCCCAUAGACCUCAGCCCCAUAACACAGCCCUUCUGACCCAUAGAUCUCUGCCCCAUAGAUCUCUGCCCCAUAGCACAGCCCUUCUGCCCCAUAGAUCACAGCCCCAUAGCACAGCUCUUCUGCCCCAUAGAUCUCAGCCCCAUAGAUCUCAGCCCCAUAGAUCUCUGCCCCAUAGCACAGCCCUUCAGCCCCAUAGACGUCAGCCCCAUAGCACAGCCCUUCUGCCCCAUAGAUCGCAGCCCCAUAGAUCUCAGCCCCAUAGCUCUCAGCCCCACAGCACAGCCCUUCUGCCCCAUAGAUCGCAGCCCCAUAGAUCUCAGCCCCAUAGAUCUCAGCCCCAUAGCACACCAUCUCUGCCCCAUAGAUCUCAGCCCCACAGCACAGCCCUUCUGCCCCAUAGAUCUCAGCCCCACAGCACAGCCCUUCUGCCCCAUAGAUCUCAGCCCCAUAUAUCUCAGUCCCAUAGCACAGCCCUUCAGCCCCAUAGAUCUCAGCCCCACAGCACACCCUCUCUACCCCAUAGAUCACAGCCCCAUAGAUCUCAGCCCCAUAGACCUCAGACCCAUAGCACACCCUCUCUGCCCCAUAGAUCUCAGCCCCAUAGAUCUUAGCCCCAUAGCACAGCCCUUCUGUCCCAUAGGUCUCAGCCCCACAGAUCUCAGCCCCAUAGCACAGCCCUUCUGCCCCACAGAUCUCAGCCCCACAGCACAGCCCUUCUGCCCCAUAGAUCGCAGCCCCAUAGAUCUCAGCCCCACAGCACAGCCCUUCUGCCCCAUAGAUCUCAGCCCCACAGAUCUUGGCCCCAUAGAUCUCAGCCCCACAGCACAGCCCUUCUGCCCCAUAGAUCGCAGCCCCAUAGAUCUCACCCCACAGCACAGCCCUUCUGCCCCAUAGAUUGCAGCCCCAUA